CCUGCAGGUUUUGCAGAAGGAAAUGAACUAACUUAAGACCAGAGCCUGCCAACCCUUACUUGUACAGCUCUUCAUGCAAAUUUCAGAUGUCUCCCUCUCAGUGGCAACUCAUUGUAUUUCUUUGUAUGAUGCCAGGGCCUUCACAUCAUAUACAGGAACCAUCUGGAAAAAUGCCCCAAUAUGCAUUAUAUAUCUGCAUCACUGAACCGCAAUAUACUCCUCCUUCUUAAAACAAACACAACAUACAGCAGAAUGAAGCUGCCUCUAGAAAAAACAUCUUGAACUUCUGAUGGAAUGGAGGAUGGAUAAAGGCCACAGCAGAUAUUAUCAUCAUCUACAUAAAUUAGGCAAUGUGAUAAAUAACUUGUGUGCGAUGAAGCAAUAAGUAAAAUUAUUCAGUGCUUACCUAGCAUGUGUAAGUAAAAAUAUUAUUCCUGUUUUCAUAUGUUAUUUGUUUUGCUUGUUCCCCUUCUUUCUUCCCCUACAGUAUAUUUCAUGGGAGACAGUGUUUACAAAUUAAAAUAUAUUUGAAAAGUGAAUUGAAAUGCAUUUUUAAUACCCAAGAUGUGAAUUCAGGAA